rnacentral:rRNA from 1 species
GACGAACGCUGGCGGCGUGCUUAACACAUGCAAGUCGAACGGAAAGGCCCUGCUUUUGUGGGGGGCUCGAGUGGCGAACGGGUGAGUAACACGUGAGUAACCUGCCCUUGACUUUGGGAUAACUUCAGGAAACUGGGGCUAAUACCGGAUAGGAGCUCCUGCUGCAUGGUGGGGGUUGGAAAGUUUCGGCGGUUGGGGAUGGACUCGCGGCUUAUCAGCUUGUUGGUGGGGUAGUGGCUUACCAAGGCUUUGACGGGUAGCCGGCCUGAGAGGGUGACCGGCCACAUUGGGACUGAGAUACGGCCCAGUCUCCUACGGGAGGCAGCAGUGGGGAAUAUUGCACAAUGGGCGGAAGCCUGAUGCAGCAACGCCGCGUGCGGGAUGACGGCCUUCGGGUUGUAAACCGCUUUCGCCUGUGACGAAGCGUGAGUGACGGUAAUGGGUAAAGAAGCACCGGCUAACUACGUG